CGGCUUUGUACUUCUACAUCAAGCUCAUCCGAAGUGUUUCGCUAGCGAACCGCUUCAGAUAUAGAAAUUAGAGUUUCAGUAUUCAAUUUAAUAAGUAUCAGCUUACUGAUAGUGUGGAUUUGGUUCCGAUUGAACCAGGGAUUCCUUCACAAUAAUUUUUUUAAAGAAGUUUAGAUACAUUUUUAAUUAGAAGCCUCAGGAGCAGUAAAUGUGGAUUUCUGAAAAACAACCUGACGGGACAAGCAGUACAUGCCUAAAAAUCCGAGCAAGAAAUCUGCUCCAUUGUUGUCCGCAGCUUCMUAGCGAUUUUCCCAGCAACAGUGCUCAACUUGCAAGAGUAACUAAGUAUGUACGAUGUAUGUAUGUAAGAAUGUACGAAACAUCAGCUCAGCUCAGAAGAUCAAGCUUAGUAYGGUAUUGCAAAUGCUGCCAACUAGAUA